rnacentral:piRNA from 1 species
UGUGAUUAAGGUGUUACCGGCAUCAGUGAU